CUUUGAGACUUGGUUCGUUCGUCAACUCUCUGUUUCUAUUCUGAUUUUAUAAUUCUAUGAAUUUCUGCAGCCAUUUUAUUUUAUUCUUUAGUUUUAAAUUAGAUAAUUGUUUGACUUUAGGGAUGAUCGUUAUAUCUGCACUGAUAAUAUGGAAGGGUUUGAACUUUGAUGUGCAUUACCGGGACUGAAUCUGAUAUGACUCGUCCCGAAUCACCCUAAUAGAUCCAAACGUGUCAUGCGCCAAUGGUAGAUACCAACUAAGUGCUAGACCCACCAUCAAGGCGAGCUUGACCUACUUUGACUAUGAUAUAUUUAUAUAAAAAUUUUGACAGAAUUUUCUUUAAAAUAUGGUCUAAAUCACCUAAACAAACAUCAACUUUAUCAAAAUUGUACGUAUAAUUUAAAAUAUAACACGCUAGUCCUUCAAAAUACAAAUUAUUCAAGACAUUUAUCAUGCUUUAUAAACAAAAGACCCCAAAAGCAAUGAGAAUACUAAAUAUGUAGUGAGCCCAUGGUAUGGAUCUAUAAAUUACCAAUUAGCAUUCUGUCAAAACAUACAUAUAUCCUAAAAAAAUUUGAACUAUAUAAAUUGACGAAAUAAGUCAUACAUCUAAGGACAAUAUGUGUGUGUGACACUCUCGGUGGAUCAACAGGCUCCAAGACUGCUCAACAUAGCUGCUAUCUGCUAAGAAAAGGGUAACAAAAUAUGAGUGGAUAAAUUGAAAAUAAGUAUACUUUUUCAUAUAUGUAUAAUUCUUGCUCUAUUAAACCGUUGAGAAGUUCAGAAAUUUAGUAACACUUUUAAAAUUGACAUAAUUGGAUCAUAAAUUUCUUUAUUCUUCAUUCUAGUUCAAUAACUGUAAAAUAUAACGAAUAUAAAUAAUCUGACGACUAUGAAAAUCUGUGAAAUAUUGUUGUUGCUCAAUACUAUAAACUAGAAGCUUUACUCUAAAAACUGAACAAUUUGAACUCUAUAAUCUAAAUUCCAUAAGCUGAGUUGUAAACGGGGAAAUGUAAGCUGAAGGCUAAUAAUCCCCUAUAUACAUAAAAUUCACAUCAAAAUAUACUCCACGUAAACAUCUACUGAUGAUCUGAAAGCUAUAUAGUCAUAUGCAUAUAAAUCGUCUGAUCAAAACUCUGUACACGGCCGUAGCCCCUCAGUGUAUACGAUGGAAACAAUAUAAUCAUCC
rnacentral:lncRNA from 1 species